UGCCUGGCGGAGCUUACCAUGCAGUCGAGCGGGGAAGAGUAGCUUGCUACUUUACCUAGCGGCGGACGGGUGAGUAAUGCUUAGGAAUCUGCCUAUUAGUGGGGGACAACAUUCCGAAAGGGAUGCUAAUACCGCAUACGUCCUACGGGAGAAAGCAGGGGACCUUCGGGCCUUGCGCUAAUAGAUGAGCCUAAGUCGGAUUAGCUAGUUGGUGGGGUAAAGGCCUACCAAGGCGACGAUCUGUAGCGGGUCUGAGAGGAUGAUCCGCCACACUGGGACUGAGACACGGCCCAGACUCCUACGGGAGGCAGCAGUGGGGAAUAUUGGACAAUGGGGGGAACCCUGAUCCAGCCAUGCCGCGUGUGUGAAGAAGGCCUUAUGGUUGUAAAGCACUUUAAGCGAGGAGGAGGCUACCUAGAUUAAUACUCUAGGAUAGUGGACGUUACUCGCAGAAUAAGCACCGGCUAACUCUGUGCCAGCAGCCGCGGUAAUACAGAGGGUGCGAGCGUUAAUCGGAUUUACUGGGCGUAAAGCGUGCGUAGGUGGCUAAUUAAGUCAAAUGUGAAAUCCCCGAGCUUAACUUGGGAAUUGCAUUCGAUACUGGUUAGCUAGAGUAUGGGAGAGGAUGGUAGAAUUCCAGGUGUAGCGGUGAAAUGCGUAGAGAUCUGGAGGAAUACCGAUGGCGAAGGCAGCCAUCUGGCCUAAUACUGACACUGAGGUACGAAAGCAUGGGGGAGCAAACAGGAUUAGAUACCCUGGUAGUCCAUGCCGUAAACGAUGUCUACUAGCCGUUGGGGUCUUUGAGACUUUAGUGGCGCAGCUAACGCGAUAAGUAGACCGCCUGGGGAGUACGGUCGCAAGACUAAAACUCAAAUGAAUUGACGGGGGCCCGCACAAGCGGUGGAGCAUGUGGUUUAAUUCGAUGCAACGCGAAGAACCUUACCUGGGCCUUGAAAUAGUAGAAACUUUCCAGAGAUGGGAUUGGUGCCUUCGGGAAUCUACAUACAGGUGCUGCAUGGCUGUCGUCAGCUCGUGUUCGUGAGAUGUUGGGGUUAAGUCCCCGCAACGAGGCGCAACCCUUUUUCCUUAUUUGCCCAGCGAGUAAUGGUCGGGACUUAAGAUAACUGCCCAGUGACAAAACUGAGAGGCGGACGAACGGUCAAGUCAUCAUGCCUUACGCAGGCUUACACACCUGCUCUAUGUCCGUACAAAGAUGCUACCUAGGCGGAAUUAGGAGAUGUUCUAAAU
rnacentral:rRNA from 1 species